rnacentral:misc_RNA from 1 species
GAUGAAGAACGUAGCGAAAUGCGAUAAGUAAUGUGAAUUGCAGAAUUCAGUGAAUCAUCGAAUCUUUGAACACACAUUGCGCCCGCCAGUAUUCUGGCGGGCAUGCCUGUCUGAGCGUCAUUUCAACCCUCACGCCCCUAGGGCGUGGUGUUGGGGAUCGGCCAAAGCCCGCGAGGGACGGCCGGCCCCUAAAUCUAGUGGCGGACCCGUCGUGGCCUCCUCUGCGAAGUAGUGAUAUUCCGCAUCGGAGAGCGAUGAGCCCCUGCCGUUAAACCCCCAACUUUCCAAGGUUGACCUCAGAUCAGGUAGGAAUACCCGCUGAACUUAAGCAUAUCAAUAAGCGGAGGA